UCCCUGGUGGCUCAGAUGGUAAAGCAUCUGCCUGCAAUGUAGGAGACCUGGGUUCAAUCCCUGGGUUGGGAA
rnacentral:tRNA from 1 species